rnacentral:lncRNA from 1 species
AUCCGUGGGAACAAAAAAUGAUAGAAGCACCCCAUCCAUGGGAACAAGAAGAAAUAACUCAAAGUAUCCAAAUAUCUGAAACCCUGAGUCAGAACCUAGAGAAACCUUAGGAUAAAAGGGAGUGACAGGCAUAGAACAAUUGGAAGUCUCACUGAGGAAGGGACGCUUUGCCUCAGACCGGGACAAUCGGCACUCACGUCCGCCAUACAAACUAUUGGGACUUCCCUGGCUGAUUGUGGUGUGGAUGUUGUUGUUUGCCUGGUCCUCGGUCCAGUAAGGUGAAGGUUAGCUAAGCAUGUUGUGGAUUUAUGAUGGAUCAUGCUUAAAUCUGUGUCAAUCCUGCAACAGACAAUUGACUAGAAGCUUUAAACCGACUGUGGAUUUGACAUCCACCAAUAGCCACCAUUCAUUUUAA